UUAUUCCUGCCAUAAAGAAAGUUUGACAGAUCCAGAAAACUUCAGUAGAAUCCACAUUAUAACUCCUCUCACAUCUUUUCAUCUAUUCUGGCUUCUGUCAUUUAGAAAACCUCCUCCGCUCCUCCCUCCCACCAACCUGUGCUGGAAGAAGGUCUCCAGGGAUUUGCAGACCGUGUACCUCUCCUGAAUAGUCAGCAGGUGCUCCAGCUGCUGGCUGAAGGUCCGCCCAUGGACUUUGAUGCUGGGAGACUGUGACUUGCAGGAAAUGUCAGUCCAAAAUGUCAGGUUUGUUGGUGUGUACUGACCUGGAGCGGGGUAUCGAGGUGGGGGGCAUGCUAGGAGAUUCCUCUGGGUCUGUUUGUUCUGACGAGUAGUCAGACGGACCCUCCUCCACCACCAGAGUAGGCAUCGCGCCGCUGCCCUGUAACAUGGACACCACCUUCUCAUGGGAACAGUUUCUAAAAGAGAUAGAGAAAUAAAAGGCUUCCAACCUCCAUGUAAAUAAAUCAGGACAAACACAACAGAGAGAAAAGCUUUGACAUCUUGCUGAUGGUGGUGCUCUGCUCUCGUUCACCCCGGUGGAGGGGAACACGUUGGAACCUCUUUGUACAUCAAAGCUGAGACACUCGAGCUGUCUAUCCAGGGUGCGUUGCCAUGGAAACGACUCAAAGCACCACUGCCUUGAUAUGUAAACAGUGGGGAGGACUAAAAAAAGAUGGAGGGGGGUGAGAAAACACAGAUCUAUUCUUUUAUAGAUGCUUUCACUGGCUGUUAUGUAAGACGAGCUAAAUGCAGAUGGGCACAUUGGGUGCUGCAUGUAUGUGAAUGUGUUUGUGUGUGUGUGUUUUUGUGUAUGUGAGUGAGACAGAGAGGAGGGUGUCAGAUACACAGCAUCAGCCUAGAGCACACUUGACAAUCUUGGUGUUUCAAAUUAUCAGAAUGCUCAAGGCCUCUCCAGAUUCCCCUCAGUCAACAAUGACGGCACGUUGCACUUUUACACAACUUCACUGGAGACAUAACAGUGUUACACAACACUCUCGAGGUUCGGGAGAGACGCCCGCCUGCAGCACAACUUGUUACCGUGACUGUAUCACUUCUUCAACAUGAAUAAAACUCUCCC